rnacentral:rRNA from 5 species
UGACCUCGGAUCAGGUAGGGAUA